GUAAAAUAGGGCAAUUUUCUAGCUGUGUGUCCUUGGGAAAGUUACUUAACCUCUCUUUGCCUCUGAUGCUUAUCAUAUUUGUUUGUAUAAGGAUUAAAUGAAAUUAAAAAAAAAAAAAAAAAAGCUUGGUGCCUGGCAAAUUGUAAGCCGCUGAUCAAUGUUAAUUCCAUUUUAUGAUUGCAUGGCCAUUAUGCGGGCCUCCUCCAGAGCCCCCGACACACUGAAGCAGAGAGAGAGUUCUCUCCUCAGUCUUGUUUGUAUGCCUUCUGGACACAGUGACGACAUCCCAGCUAUUCUUGUUUUGGACUUGAGUUUUGGAGUCAGUCUAGCACGGCCUCUCUUGCUUGUCAGAGGUCUUAUAUAAGGAGACCACAUGUCUUGUCCCCUCUUCUCUCUCUUCCUGUGUAGAUGGGACAUCAUUAGAACUGAGAAGAUUAAACCACCCUUGAUAAUACAUACUGCCUGAGAAAGAAACUCAGUAAAUUACUUCGAGAUCAGGAAGCAGACUAAAAGGGAUUAAAUACCUGCAGAAGAUCAAUUUGCAAGCGAUGGAACUUUGAUUCAGUCCCGGUGGUCUGACUCCAGAACCAGAACUGGGGCUAGGGCAGGUCGCCUUAUCCAACCAGCAGCAAACCAGUCAGCAGCCUGAAGCAAAAUGGUGUGAGAACAACUUUCUAAUGACAGCCAUCCUAAAUGUCACAUGCUAUUUGCCCAGGACACCCUGGACCUGAUGUGGAGUCAUACUGUCAGGGGCUUGUCCCAUGGUAAGUUCUGAAGCUUCUUCUCCCAGGAGAGCUGUUGCAGUCACUGCUGGAAGGCAGGCCGGCCACCCUUGAGCUACACUGUCAAGUGACUUUGAAAACUAGCGCACGGGUCUUGUUUCCUUUCCUCACUUCUGGGUAAGAGCCCCCAAAGCUUGUCCCUGUGUUUCUGCUACUUGUGAGGUGGAAGGUUUUUCUAAGUUUGGUAAAGCCAAGUGCAGCCUUUAACAUUUGAAAGGCCGUCCGCUGGGCUUUAAGUCCCAAGUAAAGCUUCCUCAUCAAAGCCUUUAAUUUAUACAAUGGUUUGGCUAAGAGCCCAAAUCCAGGAAUCUGAGGGCAGCAAAAAAUCUGCCAUACCUAGGAAAGUACGGGGUUGUUUUUCUUUAGGUUGGGGUACAAGAUCUAAUAUAUAGCCUUUUUCCUGUCAUUAGAUGGGGUACGGUGACCUGGUGUUAACGCAUUUCCCAAAUAUUGUACUUUCUGUUUAUAUAUUUGCACCUUUUUAGGGGAGACGUGAUACCCUCUGUCUGCCAAGAAAUUAAGUAAAGUUAUAGAAUUGUUAUCAGACAUUUCUUUUGUGGGACUACAGAUUAAAAUAUCGUCCACAUAUUGAACUAUAUAGUCCCUUGAGGCAGGGAGAUAUCACCAAGACAUUAAAAAAAAAUUUUUAACAUUUAUUCAUCUUUGAGAGACAGAACACGAGCA